ensembl:lncRNA
CUCUACCCUCAGUCCCCUCAGACAGAAUAGGACCUGCCCUGAAUAAGGUUCUCCUCUACCCCCAGUCCCCUCAGACAGAAUAGGACCUGCCCUGAAUAAGGUUCUCCUCUACCCCCAGUCCCCUCAGAAAGAAUAGGACCUGCCCUGAAUGAGGUUCUCCUCUACCCCCAGUCCCCUCAGAAAGAAUAGGACCUGCCCUGAACGAGGUUCUCCUCUACCCCCAGUCCCCUCAGAAAGAAUAGGACCUGCCCUGAACGAGGUUCUCCUCUACCCCCAGUCCCCUCAGACAGAAUAGGACCUGCCCUGAACGAGGUUCUCCUCUACCCUCUGUCCCCUCAGAAAGAAUAGGACCUGCCCUGAAUGAGGUUCUCCUCUACCCUCAGUCCCCUCAGAAAGAAUAGGACCUGCCCUGAACGAGGUUCUCCUCUACCCUCUGUCCCCUCAGAAAGAAUAGGACCUGCCCUGAACGAGGUUCUCCUCUACCCUCUGUCCCCUCAGAAAGACUAGGACCUGCCCUGAACGAGGUUCUCCUCUACCCUCAGACAGAAUAGGACCUGCCCUGAAUAAGGUUCUCCUCUACUCUCAGCCCCCUCAUACAGAAUAGGACCUGCCCUGAACGAGGUUCUCCUCUACCCCCAGUCCCCUCAGAAAGAACAGGACCUGCCCUGAACGAGGUUCUCCUCUACCCCCAGUCCCCUCAGACAGAAUAGGACCUGCCCUGAACGAGGUUCUCCUCUACCCUCAGUCCCCUCAGACAGAACAGGACCUGCCCUGAAUGAGGUUCUCUACCCUCUGUCCCCUCAGAAAGACUAGGACCUGCCCUGAAUGAGGUUCUCUACCCCCAGUCCCCUCAGAAAGAAUAGGACCUGGUUUGUGAUCUAAAAAAAAUCAGACAAUAUCAGGAACUGCAUCUCAGCUGUACUUACUGUCUGUUGGUGGGGGGCGCUUAACAGAAGGUCCACUAUAGGGCCCUGGGCAACAUGUGCACUAUAUAGGGAAUGAGGGGGGGGGGGGGUGUGACUGAGUGAAGUCAUCCACUCUGCCCUCAACAGGAGAACUCUGGACCAGACUGACUAGGGAGGUGUUUACCCCGGUGGUCGUUACGACACCGUCACUUCCAGAAGGAAUUAACAGUGGAUCAAAAUGUAAAUAUUACGUUUUAUUGUAAAGAAGGAAUAAUAUGUUGGGAUGUAAAUAAAUUAGUUUGAUGGUUAGUUGUUGUUUGUUGUUUUGACAUAUGUAAUAUUAAAGGUGAGUCUGUGUCGUCAUUAAAGGUGUGAGCAGCAUGAUCCAUAGGACUGACUAUAACCAACAGCAUUUUAUACCCAACUGUUACUCACAAUUCAGCUUGACCACUGAGGAAAUGUGUUUGGUAAUGCUAACCUGCCUGUUAAAUAUAUACUGAACAAACAUGUCAAUGAUUUAAACUCCGUUACAGUUCAUUUAAUGAAAUAAAU